UUGUGGGUGCUGUUGAUGGAACACAUGUUUACAUCAGGAGCCCUGGUGGGGCAAGAGCCAGGAACUACUUCAAUAUGAAGAACAGGUACUCCAUCGAUGUUCAGGUUGUCUGUGAUUAUGCUGGGAAAAUAACUAGUAUCGUUGCAAGGUGGCCUGGACUGGUAGCAGCCACGUUGCCAGGAUCUUUUCUGAGUGUGCACUGAAUUGACAGCUUGAUGCUAGGGCAUAUGAAUAACAGUUGAUUCUUGGAGAUAGACUAUAGGGUAUCCAUGCCUUCUCUGCCUCAUCAGAAGCCAUUUCUUCAUUCAGAGGUUCGACCACAGAUGUGCUUUAAAGGCCAUAUGUACUAGUUCAGCCAAAGAGGAUUAGACAACCCAGCGAGGUCACUGACGGGUGGCUAUCUCAUCAAUUCAGUUCUCAAUUAAAAUAAGAAAAAGAGGAUCAUGGGGGACCAACAGGCACAAA